AGCUUGUUGGUAGGGUAACGGCCUACCAAGGCAGCGAUGGUUAGCUGGUCUGAGAGGAUGAUCAGCCACACUGGAACUGACACACGGUCCAGACUCCUACGGGAGGCAGCAGUGAGGAAUUUUGCGCAAUGGGGGAAACCCUGACGCAGCAACGCCGCGUGAGUGAUGAAGGCUUUCGGGUCGUAAAGCUCUGUCAAGUGGGAAGAACCCACAUGGUGCUAAUAUCACCAUGUGUUGACGGUACCACUGAAGGAAGCACCGGCUAACUCCGUGCCAGCAGCCGCGGUAAUACGGGGGGUGCAAGCGUUAUUCGGAAUUACUGGGCGUAAAGAGCGCGUAGGCGGUCUUUUAAGUCAGGUGUGAAAGCCCGGGGCUUAACCCCGGAAGUGCACUUGAAACUAAGGGACUUGAGUAUGGGAGAGGGAAGUGAAUUCCUGGUGUAGCGGUGAAAUGCGUAGAUAUCAGGAGGAACACCGGUGGCGAAGGCGACUUCCUGGACCAAUACUGACGCUGAGGCGCGAAGGCGUGGGGAGCAAACAGGAUUAGAUACCCUGGUAGUCCACGCAGUAAACUGUGAACACUAGGUGUAGCGGGUAUUGACCCCUGCUGUGCCGCAGCAAACGCAUUAAGUGUUUCCGCCUGGGGAGUACGGCCGCAAGGUUAAAACUCAAAGGAAUUGACGGGGGCCCGCACAAGCGGUGGAGCAUGUGGUUUAAUUCGACGCAACGCGAAGAACCUUACCUGGAUUUGACAUCCCGGGAAUCUUUUUGAAAGAUUAGAGUGCCCUUCGGGGAACCCGGUGACAGGUGCUGCAUGGCUGUCGUCAGCUCGUGUCGUGAGAUGUUGGGUUAAGUCCCGCGACGAGCGCAACCCCUAUCUUUAGUUACCAUCAUUUAGUUGGGGACUCUAAAGAUACUGCCCCGGUUAACGGGGAGGAAGGUGGGGAUGACGUCAAGUCCUCAUGGCCUUUAUGUCCAGGGCUACACACGUGCUACAAUGGGCUGUACAAAGGGUUGCCAACCUGUGAAGGUGAGCUAAUCCCAGAAAGCAGUUCGUAGUUCGGAUUGGAGUCUGCAACUCGACUCCAUGAAGCUGGAAUCGCUAGUAAUCGUGGAUCAGCAUGCCACGGUGAAUACGUUCCCGGGCCUUGUACACACCGCCCGUCACACCAUGAGAGUUGGUUGUACCAGAAGUCGUUGGGCAAACCUUUCGGGGAUGCAGGCGCCUAAGGUAUGGCUGAUGAUUGGGGUGAAGUCGUAACAAGGUAGCCGUUGGGGAACCAGCGGCUG
rnacentral:rRNA from 1 species